GGGGUAGAGACGCUAGGCCGGCACUGCCUAGGUGGGCCGGGCGGUGCGAGGGUCGCCUUUCAGCCUUUACCUCUACCCACUGAAAUGGAGUAGGUCGGUGAGCGCCGAUCUGCUGGAGAAUCUCAUUAUCCCAUCGGCGCUCUGCCUGCUCCUGGCCUCCAAGCCUCUGAAGCCCCUCGGGUUUCAGCUGCCGGCUACCCUCGAGCCCGUGGUGCCCACGAGAGAGGCGACUUUACGUCAGCGGCCCUGGGCUGAGAUUUGAGAACGCGACCAAGUGGAGAAUGUUGGAGCCAGAUUUUAAAAUCCUUGUCUUCCUUCUGCGUGCUACUUGAUCUAAAUGAGAUACGGCAAAGUCACAGAACCUGUUUUUAUGUUUUUGCCUGAUUCAUACGGGCUUCUCCGGUGAAGAUGGGCCUGAAGUAACGCUUGGGUUGCUUCUGACGUUAUAACUCAUCCUGUAGCUGCAGCAACCGUGGUCCUUGCAACCUCAUAAAAAUGUUGCCAGCAUUGUUUCGAUAGUGCUGCUUAAUUCUUGGAAGGUUCUUCGGACUUCACACAUUCCAGCAGUAGCUCUCUCAGCUCCUGUCCUGCACAGCUUUGAAGUGCUGAAACAGAGAAGAGUAUGAGAAGUGUUACAGAACAUGAAGAUACCCUUGUGGCUCAAACAUACUUAUUUUUAAAAACUCUAAAAGUCUAAAUGUGUCUGUAUCUGGAUAUAUUUUCAGUCAACUUAUGCUGUGUUGGGUAAAGGUAAACCAGCAUUUUCUAAUCUAUAUUUGUGCCACUAUCACCAGCAUUACACGAUAAGAUUUGUUAUAGGUUCAGUUCUUCUAGUUGAAUCCAAUCAUGCACAGUUAAUGUAGCCCAUUUCUGUUCUCCAUAAUAAUUUAUCUUAGUUUUGGGCAACUCUUUAUAGUCAGGAUAACUCUGCAGAGUGGAUGAAAUUCUAAUGAGUGGAAUUUGUUUUCUAGUGCUUUACUGAUAAGGUUAACCAGAUGGUGAAAUGUAAUAGCUUGGAAGAUGUAGUUUUGAUAUACAGUACAUCAUUUCUGGAAUGAUCAUGAAAAAGCAAAAUCAACAGAGCUUUUUAGAUUCUCUUUUUUGGUCAUGAAAUUGAAAAUAUACCUUUUUAGAGAGAAAUAUCUCAUCAUAGUUCUCCUGACAUUUAAACUGCUUGGCUAUAUAUUUUUAAAAGAAGACAAACUUUUGAAAAUGUUGCUAUAAAUUUUUAUGUAUUGUAGAUUUAAAAAAUCUCAUUUAAAAAAUGAAAGAUUAUGAAAUUUUUUAUGUCACCUGAAGGAAUGUCUAUGAUGUGAAUUUCAAAUAAAAUAGAUUUUCUUCAAUAUUUUUAGUAAUGAUAUCAAUUAAUUCACUAAGAAACUCACAUUUCUUCCAAGACAUUGAAUUUUGAUGAAACCACAAAUCAGUGAUUAUCAAAAUAUUAGAAUUAAGCAACCCUGAACAUUAUUUUGCUAUAACAUUUGCUAAUUUGGCACAGAUAUUCUUUGAAGAUGGACAAUAUACAUUUUUUCAUCUGUUUUGAUUUUUGCUGAUAUGGAUUAUGUUAAUUAUGGAAAUCUACAAGUAUCUCACAAAUAAAUUAUGUGGAUGCAUUUAACUAUA
ensembl:lncRNA HULC hepatocellular carcinoma up-regulated long non-coding RNA